rnacentral:rRNA from 1 species
GACGGAGGAUGCAAGUGUUAUCCGGAAUCACUGGGCGUAAAGCGUCUGUAGGUGGUUUAGAAAGUCUGCUGUUAAAGCUUGAAGCUUAACUUCAAAAAUGCAGUGGAAACUUCUAGACUCGAGUGUGGUAGGGGUAGAGGGAAUUUCCAGUGGAGCGGUGAAAUGCGUAGAUAUCAGGAAGAACACCCGUGGCUAAGGCGGUUCUCUAGUACGGUACUGACGCUGAGACGCGAAAGCGUGGGGAGCGAACAGG